AUGAGCGGUACUGAUCCACGCUUCGAUCCCUUUUGCGUAUGGGGCAAUGAGAUAUUCAUGAACAAGCGUCAAGUGAGGAAACUAAGAAAGAUUGUUAGGCAAAAGAAACGGGUGAUGGGAAUUAAGCUCUUUAUUUACAUUUUGUCCAAGACAUUAGUGAACUUUAGGAUGCUAUUUACUGAUGAUUACCUUGCAAACUACAUAACCGAAGUGGAGGCAACUAAGGUUAAAGUAUAUAAUUCAUGCUACCAUGAUAAUGCUCUAGAAGUCUUCCUGAAGGUGGUGAAGGAUGAGCAGACAGUCGUCAUAAGAGUUGGACAAAAGUAG
rnacentral:rRNA from 1 species